ACGCUCGUACAGCAUCGGAUGAUCACUUGCGUUCUUUCCCCAUCGAAAGACGACGUCGUGGAAAAUGGCCAACGCUGCGGUGCCGUUUCGCGGGGCAACCUUUGAAAGGGUGCCUCGCGACCGCCUCCGCCGAAGACGCGCGUAGAAGAGAAGGGAAGGCGGCGGGGAAAGGGAGGGGAGGCGCACAUGGCCGACGCAGCGCCGGUAAGGACGUGCUGAGCAGCAACAGCACCGAAUAGCCCAAAUUGAGAGGACGGUGACGCAGGGUUGGGAUACGAUAAGAUGAGGACGAUACGCAAAGAGAGUAGUCGGCACGCACGCGUCAGCGCUGCGGUAUACUCCACACUCCCUCCUCCUCGUUUUGAUUAUCCCCUGUCUUCUGUCUUUCCGCAUUCUGCACUCCUGACGCGCACACGCACACACAUGAAGGCAGGAGCGGCAGCGGCGGCUACACGACGAAAGACGAUGCUUCUGUCUGUUGGUGUGCUCCUUAUUACUGUUUGUCUUCUACCCUUCACCGUGUCAGCUGCUUGUGCGCUGUGCCUCGUCUCCCUGACCUCUGUGAGUGUCGCUUGUUGGUUGUGCGCGUGAUUUUCUCAUUCCAUCCCCCGCCGCACCUUUCUCGUCGCACUCGACUCUCGUUGCUCUCCCCAGUUCCAUCGCCCGUUCCGGUUUGAUUCUCAUGUGGCUCGUACGCUGUUUCUCAUCCCGCGACGGCGCUGAACCCGUUCCAUGUAUCCUCGCAACCUCUUCGACUCGCUUCUCGGACAGGUGCGAGUUGGCUGCUGGCGUCGACACCUUUGUUUGUUUCUGCUCUCACCUUUUAGCUUGAGCGGAGAGGUUUCCGAAGGCAGUGGUGGAGUGAAGUCACGGAAGCGAAAACGAACUACAGUGGCCUUGAGCCGCAUCAAUGGAAUCUGGUGCGCCUUGUGCUUGCCUUUCAACACACAGUGUCUCUACUUGUGUCUCCUUGACAGCCGCAAGGCUUGCGCUCCCAAGUCUUUUUCGGUGCAAGCCCACCGUACCUGCGUCCGCCUCGCAUUAGAGGCGAGGACCUAUAACGGCUGCUUCGUGAGAAGAACUAUCGAACCAAACGCGAAGCCAUAUUGCCAAACACCCGGAGGCGCUUCCCUCUGCACGCGGGCAUUCAUGCGGAUCGGUCCACAGAUGUCUCCCGCUGGCCGGGCUGAGAGACGCCGCCCCGACACUAGCUUCUCUCUCCGCCCUCCUGUGCCAGGUGGGUGGGGUGGGGAUGUUUCUGUGUGCAUAUGCCUGCCCUCUCGAAACUUUCUUUGGCUGUCUUUUCGCUUCCCCCUCCCCCAUUUUCCGCGGACGAGACCCCCGACAACACAAAAG
rnacentral:misc_RNA from 1 species